CAGCUCCAUUUUUCGGGCUGAACGGAUCCUGCCUUCCUGGGAGCCACUGGGAUCUUAAAGUGUCUUUUUAGGUACCAGGUCCAUUUAUGUCAUACUAGGAAGAGGAGUCAAGCGGCAGUCUUUAGCUGAACUCGGCAGUUUCCACUUUCCAUUAGUUUAGCGAGGUGACCCAUCGAUAUAAAAAGAAUAUAAACUUAAUAUUUUUUCCUUGUUUAUUCAUAACUUUUCUCCUGUUAGAAGGGGGUUUUGGUGGGAUCCUUAAUUCUAAGGAUUAAGCACUAUCCAUAUGAGUAACUCGGAUUGCCUAUGUUUUCACCCCUCUCGGGGCCUCCCAAACUCGUUACUUACUGGUAAUCACAGAGGCCUCUCUUAUCUGCAGUUGCUCGGGAAUGGUACUUACUGCCCUGGAAGUUGGCGUUUAGAGGCUGGUGAUGCAGGCAUGUAGCGAAGACGAGUUUAUUUAGAUCGGGGUACCCUGGGAGACUGGAUGAGUUUCCAAGAGAGGAAUCGCGCAGUCAAGAGCAGCACAUGGCCUUAGCUAAAAGCCAAGAAGAUGCUGGUGCCAUGUUCUUGACCCCUAGAAUUGUGAGCUACAUAAACGUCUUCUUUGUAAAUUUCUCAGUCUGACACAGCAACAGAAAAUAGACUACAUGAGGAACUGUCCCUCCAGACUCCAGAGGCAGUGUCAGGAUGAAGGAACAGGCUGUCCCUGUAGAAGAGGGCAGAAGCGACACAAGGCCAAGAAGACCCAAAAGACCCUCUCAAGCACAUGUAAAGCCUCUGGUCUGACAUGACAGAGGUAAUAGCCACUCACAUUCCACUGACCAAAGUGCGUCAUAUGGCUGUGCUCAUUGUUAGUGAAGCAGGGCAGGGCCAUAUACUCGCCCAAGAAGGAGGUGCUGAAAAGUCUCAUGGCAAAGACUUAGAUAUAUGAAAAUAUUACAGGGUGGAAAUGAAGAAAAGAUGACAAUAAACCAAUGUAACAUUUACCAUCCAUUGAGUACCCACUAGGUACUUAAAAUAUGUUAUAUCAUUUAAUCCUCACAACAAUUAUAGGGACAGAUAUUAUUAAUAUUUUUUAUAUGAAUAAGUGUUUGCCUGUUGUGUGCCCCUUGGGCUAUGCACUGUGACAAUCAUGUAAAAUAGUGCUGAUAUUCAGUCAGCUAGAGGAUAGGCGAGAUAACUGGAAGGCUGUUCGACAUCAAGAGAGAGUUGGAUUAAUUUCUUCUUUUUUUUUUGGUACCGGAGAUCGAACUCAGGACCUUCCGCCUGCGAGGCAGGCGGUGGAACCACUGAGCUAAAUCUCCGGCCCCAGUUGAACUAAUUUUUUAUACUUGGAUUAACAAUGAUGCACAAAUGAACCAAGGAUAGCCAAUAAAAAAGAGAGCCUGAUUUAAGUACAGAGAGGUCUUUGUGGGGGCGCCAUUUCUUUCUCUCCAGCCCAUCAUCACCUGUUGGCCUUACUCUUCAGAAUUACUCCCUAUGUGACAUUUAUUUUUUUUAAUAGGGUCUUGAUGGUAACUGGUUCCACUCCCUCCCUUAUUGCCCAAACCAGUAUUGAACUCUUGGGCUCAAGUGAUGUUCCUGCCUCACCCUCCUGAGCAACUAGGGCUACAGCUCUGUGCCACCACACACAGCAAUAUGGCACUAUUGAAUACUGUCCCUUCUCUUCUCCAAACACAACACAAACGCAGUGGAAGCUUCACAGAUAUCAACUGAAUAUUUAUUAGUUUGAUGUCAGGAGCAAUGCUACAUAAUUUUAGGGAAAAAUCAUUUGAUUAGGCCUAGUUCUCCUGCCUGCAGGCCAGCUAUGCAUUUUGAGACAAUUCCAUUUUGGGCUCCGGUCACAACUGAGACCUCAAUGAUCCGGUGAUGCUGUGAUGCUCCAGGACAAGAUUACACCAGCUGAAGACAU